CGCGUGGGGACGUCAGAGUUGCCCGCCCCCCGGGUCACAGCGGUCGUCGCCGUGCUGUUUUCGUGGAGCUUUCUGUUCCCCUCCUUCCUCCGCUGAUCAGUUAUCCUGGCGGGGGGAAAAGCGCUGCUUCUAAAUCUCCAAAUCAGCCUUUAAGUUCCUGUAAAACUUAAACACAUAAAUUCCAUUGUACAGCGUUCUUCUCACUCUCUGCUGAAAAGUCUUUGGGAAGCGCCGGCGUUAAUGAUUUGCAACAAAAUCACCAUCAGACAGCUGGAAUAGUCUAGCGAGGUAAUACAAAACACAAUUUUAAAGCAGCUUGGAAGGUACAAAUUCUGUGAAGCAUCAGGAAUGGAAUCUGCGGGAAAAUAGCGUCAGUCCCAACUGCUAAGGUAUCAGAAGAGAGUUUGCCAGAGGACCAGAAUGGCAUGCAGUGUUCCUGAGAAUAUCUUUCCAGCACCAAGGACA